rnacentral:rRNA from 1 species
AUUGAACGCUGGCGGCAGGCCUAACACAUGCAAGUCGAGCGGAGGAAGGGAGCUUGCUCCUGGAUUCAGCGGCGGACGGGUGAGUAAUGCCUAGGAAUCUGCCUGGUAGUGGGGGAUAACGUCCGGAAACGGGCGCUAAUACCGAAUACGUCCUGAGGGAGAAAGUGGGGGAUCUUCGGACCUCACGCUAUCAGAUGAGCCUAGGUCGGAUUAGCUAGUUGGUGGGGUAAAGGCCUACCAAGGCGACGAUCCGUAACUGGUCUGAGAGGAUGAUCAGUCACACUGGAACUGAGACACGGUCCAGACUCCUACGGGAGGCAGCAGUGGGGAAUAUUGGACAAUGGGCGAAAGCCUGAUCCAGCCAUGCCGCGUGUGUGAAGAAGGUCUUCGGAUUGUAAAGCACUUUAAGUUGGGAGGAAGGGCAGUAAGUUAAUACCUUGCUGUUUUGACGUUACCAACAGAAUAAGCACCGGCUAACUUCGUG